AGCGAACGCUGGCGGCAGGCCUAACACAUGCAAGUCGAGCGCCCCGCAAGGGGAGCGGCCGACGGGAGAGUAACACGUGGGAACGUACCCUUCGGUUCGGAACAACCCAGGGAAACUUGGGCUAAUACCGGAUACGUCCGAAAGGAGAAAGAUUUAUCGCCGAGGGAUCGGCCCGCGUCUGAUUAGCUAGUUGGUGGGGUAACGGCCCACCAAGGCGACGAUCAGUAGCUGGCCUGAGAGGAUGAUCCGCCUCACUGGGACUGAGACACGGCCCAGACUCCUACGGGAGGAAGCAGUGGGGAAUAUUGGACAAUGGGCGCAAGCAUGAUCCAGCCAUGCCGCGUGGGUGAUGAAGGCCCUAGGGUUGUAAAGCCCUUUCGGCGGGGAAGAUAAUGACGGUACCCGCAGAAGAAGCCCCGGCUAACUUCGUGCCAGCAGCCGCCGUAAAAC
rnacentral:rRNA from 1 species